GGGCCGGUAGAUCAGCCUGGUAGAUCGCCGCGUUGGCAUCGCGGAGGUCCCGGGUUCAAAUCCCGGCCGGUCCACCA
rnacentral:tRNA from 3 species